CAGUCGCCGCGGUAAUCCGUAGGGUGCAAGCGUUAAUCGGAAUUACUGGGCGUAAAGCGUGCGCAGGCGGUCCGCUAAGACAGAUGUGAAAUCCCCGGGCUUAACCUGGGAACUGCAUUUGUGACUGGCGGGCUAGAGUAUGGCAGAGGGGGGUAGAAUUCCACGUGUAGCAGUGAAAUGCGUAGAGAUGUGGAGGAAUACCGAUGGCGAAAGCAGCCCCCUGGGCCAAUACUGACGCUCAUGCACGAAAGCGUGGGGAGCAAAUGGGAUUAGAUACCCCGGUAGUCCCUGUCUCUUAUAC
rnacentral:rRNA from 1 species